CCGCGGUAACUCCAGCUCCAAUAGCGUAUAUUAAAGUUGUUGCGGUUAAAAAGCUCGUAGUUGAAUCUGUGUCCCACACUGUCGGUUCACCGCUCGCGGUGUUCAACUGGCACGUCUGUGGGACGUCCUACCGGUGGGCUUAGCCCGUCAAAAGGCGGCCCAACUCAAAAUCCUACCACGGUGCUCUUCACCGAGUGUCGAGGUGGGCCGGUACGUUUACUUUGAACAAAUUAGAGUGCUUAAAGCAGGCUCAUUCGCCUGAAUAUUCUGUGCAUGGAAUAAUGGAAUAGGACCUCGGUUCUAUUUUGUUGGUUUUCGGAACUCCGAGGUAAUGAUUAAUUGGGACAACUGGGGGCAUUCGUAUUGCGACGUUAGAGGUGAAAUUCUUGGAUCGUCGCAAGACGGACAGAAGCGAAAGAAAUGUGUUUUCAUCAAUCAAGAACGAAAGUUAGAGGUUCGAAGGCGAUCAGAUACCGCCCUAGUUCUAACCAUAAACGAUGCCAGCUAGCGAUCCGCCGAAGUUCCUCCGAUGACUCGGCGGGCAGCUUCCGGGAAACCAAAGCUUUUGGGUUCCGGGGGAAGUAUGGUUGCAAAGCUGAAACUUAAAGGAAUUGACGGAAGGGCA
rnacentral:rRNA from 1 species